rnacentral:rRNA from 1 species
CCUACGGGUGGCAGCAGUGGGGGAUAUUGCACAAUGGGGGAAACCCUGAUGCAGCGACGCCGCGUGUAGGAAGACGGUCCUCUGGAUUGUAAACUACUGUCCCCAGGGACGAAGAUGACGGUACCUGGGGAGGAAGCUCCGGCUAACUACGUGCCAGCAGACGAGAUAAGACGUCGGGAGCGAGCGUUGUCCGGAAUUACUGGGUGUAAAGGGCGCGUAGGCGGGGAUGCAAGUUGGGUGUUAAAUCUACCGGCUCAACUGGUAGUCGCACUCAAAACUGCAGCUCUUGAGUGAAGUAGAGGCAGGCGGAAUUCCUAGUGUAGCGGUGAAAUGCGUAGAUAUUAGGAGGAACACCAGUGGCGAAGGCGGCCUGCUGGGCUUUUACUGACGCUGAGGCUCGAAAGUGUGGGGAGCAAACAGGAUUAGAUACCCUAGUAGUC